UUUUUCGGCAGCAGAGCAAGAACUCUUGAGUGAGGGAUUUCAGGAGUUUCAGAGUUUAAUUAAAACGCAAGGGAACACUGCAAAGGCUGCAAAAGCAAGGAGAGAGGGCUGGCAGGAAGUUGCUGACAAAUUAAACUCCAACCAAGAAAAGGGCAGAGCAAAAAAAGACAGGUGGUGGUCCUGCACCCCCUCGUCAACAAGUUGGUUACGUAAAUAAUACCCUCACGGGAAAAUCGAUAUCUCUCUAUGAGCACACUGUCGCGCUGAGCUAAAGGAUCCUGUCUAUCCCGCAAUAUACGCUGAAUUCUGAAAACUCUCCUUAUCAAUCUUGCACCUUCCGCAAUGGGCUGCUCGCGUAUACGGACAGGACAUGGCUGCGACAGGCUUCCCAAAUCCACCUUCGCUUUUAUAGCCGUGGUCUCUCAUCUUGAUUACACGAAGUAAUUUACAAUUACUACUCUGAAAUAUGAAUUACAUCUGUAAUAAUCACAUACAUGUAAUAGAAUGUUAAUAGUUCAUUUCCCUUUUUUAGGAAAUGACCUGUAUGUAUCUGUGUGACAUCAAUAAAAGGAUCAAGUGCUGCAUUAUCUUUAGUUACAUUGAUGUUAUUUAUUUAUGGUGAAACAGUGGUGGAAUAUCGCUG
ensembl:lncRNA